GGGCGUCAUCGUCCAGUACGGCGGGCAGACGCCGCUGAAGCUGGCGCUGGGGCUGGAGCGCGCCGGCGUGCCGAUCAUCGGCACGACGCCCG
rnacentral:tRNA from 1 species